UAUAUUUAUGCAUAUAAACUGUAAGAUGAGAUAAAUAAUGAAUGUAGCAUUUGGUGAUUCAGAGGUGCUCUUCCUCCACCUGGCUGGAGAGAAAUGAGCCCAUUUGUCCCGAGCACACUGUAUCAUGUCCUCACCUCUCACCGUGUUCUUUCUCAGGCAACAGAGACUAUGCCAGGGACGAUCCGUUGGAGUUUAAGUCCCACCAGUGGUUUGGUGCCUCCGUGAGGUCCAAACAGGACAAAAUUUUGGCCUGUGCUCCCUUGUACCACUGGAGGACUGAGCAGAAGCAGGAGCGUGAACCUGUUGGGACCUGCUUUCUUCAAGCCGGGACGAAGACUGUGGAGUACGCUCCGUGCAGGUCAAAAAAUAUUGAUGCUGAUGGACAGGGAUUUUGCCAAGGAGGAUUCAGCAUUGAUCUUACUGAAGCCGACAGAGUACUUCUUGGUGGUCCUGGCAGCUUUUACUGGCAAGGUCAGCUCAUUUCGGAUCAAGUGGCAGAAAUCAUCUCCAGAUACGACCCCAAUGUCUACAGCAUCAAGUAUAGCCACCAGCUGGCCACUCGCGCGGCACAAGCCGUUUUUGAUGACAGCUAUUUGGGUUACUCAGUGGCUGUGGGAGACUUCAAUGGUGACGGCGUUGAUGGUAAGAAGUGUUUGAACUGCGUGGUGGUCACUGCCCGAACCUCACACGGCUUCGUCUUCCGCCCCCUCCUCCUCCAUCUCCGGUCUGCCCUCCAGCUGCAAGAGUCUGUCCUGUUCUGUUCCCUGCUGUCUGCCUUUAUUCGCUCUUUAAUUUAUGUAUGCUCCAGGUUUCUCUUGUAAGAGAAGCCCUGCGAUAUUCUUGUGGGUCUGAUUACUUCCCUGAACAUUAUGUCUUAAGGCGCCUCCCUUUCCCCACACACAACCCAAACUGACCUCUCGGUGGCUCUCAGAAAC
rnacentral:lncRNA from 1 species